CAGCAGCCGCGGUAAUACGAAGGGGGCUAGCGUUGUUCGGAAUUACUGGGCGUAAAGCGCACGUAGGCGGAUAUUUAAGUCAGGGGUGAAAUCCCGCAGCUCAACUGCGGAACUGCCUUUGAUACUGGGUAUCUUGAGUAUGGAAGAGGUUAGUGGAAUUGCGAGUGUAGAGGUGAAAUUCGUAGAUAUUCGCAGGAACACCAGUGGCGAAGGCGGCUAACUGGUCCAUAACUGACGCUGAGGUGCGAAAGCGUGGGGAGCAAACAGGAUUAGAGACCCCUGUAGUCCCUGUCUCUUAUAC
rnacentral:rRNA from 1 species